rnacentral:rRNA from 1 species
UACGGAGGAUGCGAGCGUUAUCCGGAUUUAUUGGGUUUAAAGGGUGCGUAGGCGGAUUAAUAAGUCAGUGGUGAAAUCCUGCAGCUUAACUGUGGAACUGCCAUUGAUACUGUUAGUCUUGAGUAUGGUCAAGGUAGGCGGAAUGUGUAAUGUAGCGGUGAAAUGCUUAGAUAUUACACAGAACACCGAUUGCGAAGGCAGCUUACUAAUCCAUCAUUGACGCUGAGGCUCGAAAGCGUGGGGAGCGAACGGGAUUAGA